GUCUAAGUACAAGCCGCUAGUUCGGCGAAACCGCGAAUGGCUCNAUAAAUCAGUUAUGGUUCCUUAGAUCCACUCCAUCCUACUUGGAUAACUGUGGUAAUUCUAGAGCUAAUACAUGCACUCGAGCCUCGACCGAGGCCCCGGCAACGGGGUCGCGGAAGAGGUGCUUUUAUUAGAUCAAAACCAGUCGGGGAAACGAUCGCGCCGGGUCAAACCGGUCGGUCGCGGAACCGUACCAAUUUUGGUGACUCUGGAUAACUUCACGCCGAUCGCACGGCCUUCGCGCCGGCGACGUAUCUUUCAAAUGUCUGCCUUAUCAACUGUCGAUGGUAGGUUACGCGCCUACCAUGGUUGCAACGGGUAACGGGGAAUCGGGGUUCGAUUCCGGAGAGGGAGCCUGAGAAACGGCUACCACAUCCAAGGAAGGCAGCAGGCGCGCAAAUUACCCACUCCCGGCACGGGGAGGUAGUGACGAAAAAUAACGAUACGGGACUCUUCCGAGGCCCCGUGAUUGGAAUGAGUACACUUNAAAUCCUUUAACGAGGAACCAUUGGAGGGCAAGUCUGGUGCCAGCAGCCGCGGUAACUCCAGCUCCAAUAGCGUAUAUUAAAGUUGUUGCGGUUAAAAAGCUCGUAGUCGGAUGUCUGUCUUCGGCCGGGCGGCGCCGCUCUGAAUCAAGGGUGUUUGCGUUUCACGCUCUGGGAGCCCGGGUGUCAAAGCCCGACUCUCUUCACGGUCGGACAACAUCGCCGGAGUGGUGGUCGGUGGGUCGCGGUUGUAUCGGUUUCGAUUCGGUUGAGUGCGAGAGUGACUCUCGGGUCUCUCUCUUCUCGAUCGGUCGUUGUCGUUGACUCGAUUCGCUCCACCCAGUCAAUCGUUCGGGGUGCCCUUCACCGGGUGUCUCGGGCGGCCGGCAACGUUUACUUUGAACAAAUUAGAGUGCUCAAAGCAGGUGUAUCCCAACGCCUGAAUAUCGCAGCAUGGAAUGAUGGAAUAGGACCUCGGUCCGAUUUUGCUGGUCUUUUACUUUUGGACCCGAGGUAAUGGUCAAUAGAGACGGACGGGGGCAUUCGUACUGCGGCGACAGAGGUGAAAUUCUUGGACCGCCGCAAGACGAACAACAGCGAAGGCAUUUGCCAAGAAUGUUUUCCUUGAUCAAGAACGAAAGUUAGAGGUUCGAAGGCGAUCAGAUACCGCCCUAGUUCUAACCAUAAACGAUGCCAACCAGCAAUCCGUCGGAGUUACUCCAAUGACUCGACGGGCAGCUUCCGGGAAACCAAAGUCUUUGGGUUCCGGGGGAAGUAUGGUUGCAAAGCUGAAACUUAAAGGAAUUGACGGAAGGGCACCACCAGGAGUGGAGCCUGCGGCUUAAUUUGACUCAACACGGGAAACCUCACCAGGCCCGGACACUGGAAGGAUUGACAGAUUGAGAGCUCUUUCUUGAUUCGGUGGGUGGUGGUGCAUGGCCGUUCUUAGUUGGUGGAGCGAUUUGUCUGGUUAAUUCCGAUAACGAACGAGACUCUAGCCUGCUAAAUAGGNGACGGGUUUUAUCAAUUGAAACCGAAGGGAGUACNGAGGCGUCNGGAUCNGGUGNNNGCGGUUUUCGGGUUUCGAUGGGCCCAGUNNCUUUNGUGAUGCGUGCNNUUGGCUGUUUGUUGGCUUUNNNNNCUGNNGGAUUCGGAGUUCGCNUCGGGUUUCGUGGUUGCGGAGGUUGGCGGCGGUCGGCUGUGCGUUUNGCGGGGGCUGGAUCUGUUGUUAUUCGGUCGUCGUCAUCCCCGGCGAUACCUUCUGCUCUCGCGUCCGUCACGCAGUCUUCUUAGAGGGACNAGNNGCGUCCAGCCGCGUGACAGUNNNCANUAACNNGUCUGUGAUGCCCUUAGAUGUCCNGGGCNGCACGCGCGCUACANUGAANNAAUCNNNGUGUUUCANUCUCCCUGUCCNANAGGACCNGGNAACCGCUGAACCUCCNUCNUGGNUGNNNNUGGGGACUGCAAUGAUCCCCAUGAACCANGAAUCNCUAGUANGCNCGGGUCACUAGCCCGCGUCGANUACGUCCCNNNNNNNNGUACACACCGNNNGUCGCUACUACCGAUUGAAUG
rnacentral:rRNA from 1 species